CAUUUUUGAGAAACGCAAUAAAAAUACUAUAAGUAUUAUAAGGCUUAAUAACCCUCAAAAACCA
rnacentral:tRNA from 1 species